AUACUGGUUGAUUCUGCCAGAGGCUACUGCCAUCAGAGUUCGAUUAAGCCAUGUUAGUUAAGGGGACCUUCCUUCGGGGAGGUAACCCGGCAGACGGCUCAGUAACACGUGGACAAUUUACCCUUGGGACCGGGAUAACCCCUGGGAAACUGGGGCUAAUACUGGAUAGAGCAUCGGCUGCUGGAAUGCGCGAUGUUCGAAAGCUGAGGCGCCCAAGGAUAGGUCUGCGGCUGAUUAGGUUGUUGUUGAUGUAACGGGUCAACAAGCCCGCGAUCGGUACGGGUUGUGAGAGCAAUAGCCCGGAGAUGGGUUCUGAGAAAAGAACCCAGGUCCUACGGGACGCAUCAGGCGCGAAAACUUUACAAUGUGCGAAAGCGCGAUAAGGGAACUCUGAGUGCCUCCUAAGGAGGCUGUUCAGGUGUCUAAAAAGCAUCUGGAGUAAGGGCUGGGCAAGACCGGUGCCAGCCGCCGCGGUAACACCGGCAGCUCAAGUGGUAGCCAUGCUUAUUGGGUCUAAAGCGUCCGUAGCCGGCUGAGUAAGUUCCUUGGGAAAUUUGACCGCUUAACGGUUAAGCUAUCAGGGAAUACUGCUUGGCUUGGGACCGGGAGAGGUCAGAGGUACUCCAGGGGUAGGGGUGAAAUCUAUUAAUCCUUGGGGGACCACCGGUAGCGAAGGCGUCUGACCAGACCGGGUCCGACGGUGAGGGACGAAGGCUGGGGUCGCGAACCGGAUUAGAUACCCGGGUAGUCCCAGCUGUAAACGAUGCGGGCCAGGUGUUGGCAUUACUGCGAGUGAUGUCAGUGCCAAAGGGAAGCCGUUAAGCCCGCCAUCUGGGGAGUACGGUCGCAAGGCUGAAACUUAAAGGAAUUGGCGGGGGAGCAC
rnacentral:rRNA from 1 species